CUACGGGAGGCAGCAGUGGGGAAUAUUGGACAAUGGGGGCAACCCUGAUCCAGCCAUGCCGCGUGUGUGAAGAAGGCCCUCGGGUUGUAAAGCACUUUCAGCGAGGAAGAACGCCUAGCGGUUAAUACCCGCUAGGAAAGACAUCACUCGCAGAAGAAGCACCGGCUAACUCCGUGCCAGCAGCCGCGGUAAUACGGAGGGUGCAAGCGUUUAUCGGAAUUACUGGGCGUAAAGCGCGCGUAGGUGGCUUGAUAAGCCGGUUGUGAAAGCCCCGGGCUCAACCUGGGAACGGCAUCCGGAACUGUCAGGCUAGAGUGCAGGAGAGGAAGGUAGAAUUCCCGGUGUAGCGGUGAAAUGCGUAGAGAUCGGGAGGAAUACCAGUGGCGAAGGCGGCCUUCUGGACUGACACUGACACUGAGGUGUGAAAGCGUGGGUAGCAAACAGGAUUAGAUACCCUGGUAGUCCCCGCCGUAAACGAUGUCGACCAGCCGUUGGGUGCCAAGCGUACUUUGUGCCGA
rnacentral:rRNA from 1 species